CUGGCCUUUGAGGAUUUCAUCUAGGGUGAGACAGUAUAUAUCUGGUCAGCCUGCUGGACAGCCUGACUGGAGAGCAUCUGUGAACAUCAAUUGGGACUCCUGGUUCAUCAAGGACUCUUGUGUUCAUUCUUGAUUUCAAAGGAGAAAAGCCCCAGAAGCAAAUAUACAUAAACAAAACAAAUUUCUGCAUUGUCUGUUUCGAAAAAUAUAUGUCUCUUUCUGCAUCUUGGAUCCAUUACCUUUCUGUCAAAAAUGUGCUUCCACAUCGUUGCUGCCUCCUGUUUUCCAUGACUUAAAGACUCAGCUCAAAUCCUGCCUUCAGCAAAAGCCCUUUCCAGAUGACUUCCAACAUAAGUGUGGUUCUUCUGAAAUGACCUCCAAUUUAUCCUGUUUUUAUUUUGUAGGUACAUAGUUGCUUGCAUGUUGACUCUCCCAUUAGAAUGCAAACCUCUUGAGGGCAAGGGCUGUGAUUUUGCUUUGUUUGGGGAUCCUUGUCCCUACAGUGCCUAACAUAGAGUAAAUUCUUAAUAAAAGUUUGUUGACUUGGCCUGACUUUGUCA
rnacentral:lncRNA from 1 species